rnacentral:misc_RNA from 1 species
UGUUUCCCCUCCGAGAAGAUGGCGAGUAUCAAGUGUGGUUCCCGCCGCAAGGCCCGCCGUGCGCACUUUCAGGCCCCGAGCCAUGUGCGCCGUGUGCUCAUGAGCGCCCCGCUCUCCAAGGAGCUGCGCGCCAAGUACAACGUGCGUGCCAUGCCCGUGCGCAAGGACGACGAGGUCAUCGUGAAGCGUGGCACCUUCAAGGGCCGUGAGGGUAAGGUGACCGCGUGCUACCGCCUCAAGUGGGUCAUCCUCAUCGACAAGGUGAACCGCGAGAAGGCGAACGGCUCCACUGUGGCCGUCGGCAUCCAUCCCUCCAACGUCGAGAUUACGAAGCUGAAGCUGACGCACCACCGCAAGUCCAUCCUGGAGCGCAAGGACCGCUCGUCCAAGUCCGACAAGGGCAAGGGCAAGAUUAGCGCUGCAGACAAAGCCAUGCAGCAGAUGGACUAGAGAUCUCGCCCAACGCGAUUGAGGCUCAGUGAAACACAAGCGUGCCACGAUGGGUGCGUGCGCACGUGUACGUCAUUUCCGACGUGCGUGCAUCCAUCACCGGUACGCUUUUGCCCUUUUUCAUCUUCUUUUGUUGUUCUUUCCGUUUCAUGAAAAG